UUCUCCUCUCCUUGAAGACUUUUCUACCAUCUUCUGAUUUGAGUUCUAAACAUACUAUUUCAAUGUCAAGCUUUGGGUCUGUCUGCUUUCCUCACAAGAAGCAGAACCUGCGAUGCCCCCUUAUCUUCAUCAUCCUCUCGGCUUCCUAGUGUAAAUCUUAAUUUCGCUCUCUCUUUUCACUACAUUAGUCAUAAUUUUAAUUGGAAAGACAAUGCCUAGUUUCUUAACUAUUGUUCCUUAACUGCUUAUAACAUAAAUCUCUUCUUGGCAAGGCCAUUUUAAUUUGGAAAUUUAAGACAGUGGAAUUUGUGGGAGGACAUUGCUGGGUGAAGUAUUUUCCUGGGAUUGCAUAGUGAUUUCUGAUUGGUUCAAAAACAGUGCUCACAGCAAGAUAUUCCUGUUGUAGGAUGGCACAUAGAAGCAUUCCAAAGAAUAUGUUUGGGGGCACAAAUAACAAAACAUUUUACAGAAAACAUAGGCAACAAUGUUUAUCAAAUUAUCAGUGACAGCUAGACCUGUUCACUUUCCAAGUAACUCACGUGUUGCAGGCACGUUCCAUCUCAGUUUAUGAUACAGACAGUGAACGGUGCCUGAGGCCAGCCUCAGUGGCCCUCAGUUCACACACUUGCCCAGCUUUUUCUUGCCUUCAGGCCCUCCCCUAUAGAGCUUCCUAACUGUAGAAUCUGCCCCCAUCCCCACAUCUUCUGUCCAGUGUUCUGCAUAAUUGGCAGAAUAUUUCUCACAGAGUACGAUUUCCAUUCUUGUUGUUGUUGAUAAUAUAUCUAUCAGUUGGUUGAUUUUAUUUGUGACAUCACUGAGAUUGAUUGAAUUGUUGCUAUUUUGUGGUUCCUCUGAGCACUGAUGAGUAAGAUGGUGGACAGACUGGCAGCAUCCUGCUCCCCUGGAGCUUCAGAUAAUAAACCACCCACUGAGGAAAACGUGAGAGAGGUGAUGACCAGCUACGCGGUGGAUGUGAGGAAACUGACGGGGCAGCGGGAGAUAGGGAGGCUCCUGUUCUUGGCUGGUGAGGAUCGGCCAGAGAUGACAUUUAAGCUGAGAGCUGACUGGGGAGGAAGAACUGGCCAUACAUGAGGAAGGAACAGUAAAGGGGCCAGAUGCAGGAGCGGUCAGCUGUGGACAGUGCUGCCCUGUGGUCCAGUAAGGUAGGAACAGAGAUGUGAACAUCAGAUUGGCAAAUGGAAGCCGCUGGUGUCCCUAAAGGCCAGUCUGAGGGAGGAGUGGGGAGGACAAGGAGGGAGUUAGGUGGAAACAGCUUCUGUGAGCCGGUCUUCCAGAAGCUGUUCUUUGAAGGGGCUAGAGCAUGGGUGCAUUAGCCUGAGGUGAUGGGAGGUCAAGGAAGGGAUUUUUGUUUGUUGUUUGUUUUAACAAAAGACAUAGAAUUACCAUCGCGAGUGUCUGUCUUGCUCACUAGAGUGUAGGGAGGACAUGUGUUUCUUUUUCUGCCAUUUUUAUCCUUAAUGCCCCCCAGGGUGCCUGGCAUGUGGUAGGUAGAGGAGUGAAUGAACUGGACCUUCCCAAGAAUUUUCCUACAUAAAUGUUCUGGUGAUGCCACAGAGAUUAGGGUCAUCUUGGAAUUCUAGGAGACAGUUGGGUUCCUUAUCAGUACCUGGAGGGGGGAUGGUAAAGGGGAGAUGGGGCUGAUCCUGAGCAGACCUGGGAAGCUCAGUGCAGCACAGCCUGAGGCCUCAAUCUGAGAAUUCUGACCUAUUCCACCACCAAAGCUGUAGAAGAUUGAGUCAUGGCAGACAUCAAGGUGUUGCUCACUCAAAUUAUAGGUUGGCUGAUGGGGGAAGAUGCCAUACAUAGAACUCUUCUGCAGUUUCCAUGUCUCAUUAGUCAGGUUGUUUGUUGAACUCAAGAAGAAGAGGACUUUGCAGUGGGUGAAGCUCCCUUCUGGCAGGGAAACACCCAUGGAUACACGGAAUCCUGAAGAGAUCCCUGCUCCAAACCACAUGCAGGGAAGGACUCACGCACAGAGUCCUUCUGGCAGCUGGUUACAUAGAUGGUAUUUAAGUUUGUUUAGACUACCUUGACAAUUCUAACUUUAGGACCUCUAUAAAUUACGAAUUUCAUGUCUCAACCAAGUUUUGAAUCUUUUCAUUUCUCUCUUACAGCACUGAAUAAUACAUUUUGAAGAUCUCUUCUUUUGCAAGUUUUAAUUCAGAAUAAAAUGUAAUUCAAAUUAAUUUAAUUCAAAAUAAAAUGAAUCAGAAUAAAAAGAUAAA